CUAAGAAUCUUCCGCAAUGGGGGAAACCCUGACGGAGCGACGCCGCGUGGACGAUGGAGGCCGUAAGGUUGUAAAGUCCUUUUCCUGGUGAAGAAUAGCCUGAGGAGUGGAAAGCCUCGGGGAUGACGUUAGCCAGGGAAUAAGCCCCGGCCAAUUACGUGCCAGCAGCCGCGGUAAUACGUAUGGGGCAAGCGUUGUUCGGAGUUAUUGGGCGUAAAGGGCGUGUAGGCGGCUCAUCAAGUCUGGUGUGAAAAUGCAGGGCUUAACCCUGCAAAUGCGCUGGAAACUGGUGGGCUUGAGUUCCUGAGGGGAAGCUGGAAUUCCAGGUGUAGGAGUGAAAUCUGUAGAUAUCUGGAAGAACACCGGUGGCGAAGGCGAGCUUCUAUCAGAGGACUGACGCUGAGGCGCGAAAGCGUGGGGAGCAAACAGG
rnacentral:rRNA from 1 species